rnacentral:misc_RNA from 1 species
GCUCCGUUGGUGAACCAGCGGAGGGAUCAUUACAGGACUCGCAAGACUCCUACAACCCUGUGAACUUAACUAUAAGCACGUUGCUUCGGCGGGUGUCUCGGAGGGGGUUCUCCCUCCCCGAGACGCUAAACCCGCCGGCAGCCUACUAUACUCUGUCUCUUUGCGUUGGCAUCUCGAGUACAAUCAAACAAGUUAAAACUUUCAACAACGGAUCUCUUGGUUCUC